AUGUGCAGUCUAGCACAUAGCAUUGGCAAUCAUAUACCAGCUAAAAAUAAUUAUUUCAAGACACAGUUGCUUCUGAUCCAGGGCUGGGCUCAGGAUGACAAACCUACAACACCUGUACCACAGUUCCUGCUUUCAAGGCCUUCCUUGCCUGGUGGGGUUUCCCUUGCUGAAAAGAAAGGAAAUGUCCACAGCGCAAAGUCAGAAGGGAUGAAGCUGUCAGACAAUAGCAGAAGGAGCUGGUAUUCUGAAGUCAGGCACAGUUUACAUCAGCUUCAAGAUGAAUUUCAUUGGCACAGAGAGCGAGCGUUGCUCACUGCCAUAAGACGUAAGCCGAGACUCUCACUGUGUGCCAGUAGAGAGGAGAUCAAUCUGGCGUGUUAUCCCCUUGACGCAAGAGAAAGCUGUUAUAAGGGCACAGGAGGACACCUGGCAUUCUCUAAGACGGAAAUCAGAAAAGGCAGAAUAAUGGUUUAAUCAAAAUGUCUCUAAUUUCUUUGAUCUAUUGAUAUGAUUCCAAACAUGAGGAAAUGAAGGAGAGGUUCAUCUAUUUCAGCAUUGAUGUGACAGGACAAAAUGUAAAAAAUUAUUAUGUUGGAGAAACUAUUCAAGUAGUUUUCCAGACAGACAAUUUUUCCAUAAUUCCUUUGCCAAAAUAUGGAUGCUGCAAGUUUUUCUUUGAAUGAAAGCAUUGCAGCAAAUAUUAUUGACAGUGUUUUUUUAAAUGAGAUACCAGUACUCAUAUUAAUAAACUGUAAAAUACUCUUCCCA
rnacentral:lncRNA from 1 species